rnacentral:lncRNA from 1 species
AACAAAGUGUAUUGCCAAAAGAAAACAUUGUCUGUUCUCCUGCAGCUUAGAUGACAAGCCUAGCCUGGCCAGCAGCCAGUUACUUGUCUGGGAGUCAUGCAGUGCUCCGGAGAAAAUCACAUUGGCUGUCCCCAUGUUUCCUAAGUAACCGGGCCCUAGGGGAGCUGUUUAUUCCUGAGUGUCCCGCUGCGUAAAACAUUUCUGCUCCGCACCGACUCGCCCAUUGGCUGCCGUCACCGCCGGAGGAAGCUGCGUGCAGGAGCAGCGGCGUUGCUAAGAGCUGAGCCCCGCGCUCUGCUCUGCAGUGAUGGAGGUGGGAAGGCGCAGGGGAGAAAUCUCCCGGGAGCUGGCUCCGUGCUGAGCCGGGAUCUGCCCCCGAAUGCCAGGGAAUAAGGGAGCAGAUGUUGCAGGUUGGCUGAGCGAUCGCUGCUGUAGCCAGCCACAAGUGUUUAGCACCCAAGGAGGAAGAGGAAGUGGCAGCGGUAUCGAAGCUGUGUUGUGAAAAGGAUUAAGCUAAACUAACGGAAAUUGUAGGCUGGGUGUCAAAGAUGAUUUCUGGCUGUGUGAUGUGGUAAGCUGUGGGUCAUAUCUCAAGAGGAGGAAUAGAAAAAAAACAUUGUUUAGAUGCUGAAAGCUGAACUGAGUAAAGCUCUAGAGAAUAAUGUAGAGUAGUUGGGGGUGGUGGAUUUAAGAUUAAACCUUGCAACAAAAAUGCAGCUACAAUAAUAAACUCAUCUAGGUUCUCCUCCA